rnacentral:tRNA from 1 species
GUUUUUAUAGUGUAACAAACACGUUGCUUUUUCAUUGCAAAACUGAAGCAUUUAGACUUCUAAAAACU